GACAUCUGAAGAGCUUAAACUAUCCUUAAAAACAAAAUACAGUCGCAAAGAACUGAUGAAAGCUCACUUUAUCCUUGAGUUCUAGCGUUGGGAGCAAGAUGGAAACUGAGUAGUGAUGAGAUUUUAGGAACUGACCUCUGGAGAGCUUCAACUAUUCUUAAAAACAAAAUACAGUCGACAAAAAAACUGAUGGAAGCUCACUUAAUCCUUGAGUUCUAGCGUUGGGAGCAAGAUGGACACUGAGUAGUGAUGAGAUUUUAGGAACUGACCUCUGUAGACCUUCGACUAUACUUAAAAACAAAAUACAGUCGAAAAAAAAACUGUCACUUUAUCCUUGAGUUCUAGCGUUGGGAACACUUGGGAGCACUUAGAGGACAUUCAAGAAUUGUCAUAUUGUGGGGAAUCAUUCAAAGACACUUUGCUCAAGUAAUUCAUUCGGGUAAAAUGAUAAAAAAACAUUCGAAAAGUUCAGCGGUAUUACUCAUGUUCUUCUGAUACGUACAAGCUCGGCCGGCUAGAUCUGACAGUACUAGUCACCAGCUUUCCAACGCGUCCCCUAACGUCAAAUUUUAUUUAGAACUGGCCAGGGAAAUUGAGUUCAAAGUUAGCGGUUUUUCCGGUACACUUUUCAGGGAACCCAUGAUAACUCACUGAACUUUUAAUUUUCCAAA